UUUUAUUCCCAAGUACUGCGGAACACGAGAAAUUCUGUGGGAAUUUGCGAGGACCAUCUCGUAAGGCUAAAUACGACUUGACAACCGAUAGCGUACCAGUACCGUGAGGGAAAGGUGAAAAGUACCCCUGUUAGGGGAGUGAAAUAGUACCUGAAACCGUUUGCUUACAAGCAGUGGGAGCUUUAAUUUAUUAGAGUGACCGCGUGCCUUUUGCAUAAUGAGUCAGCGAGUUACUUAAUGCAGCCAGGUUAAGCCGAGAGGUGUAGCCGUAGCGAAAGCGAGUCUUAAUAGGGCGACCAGUUGCAUUGAGUAGACCCGAAACCAGGUGAUCUAUCCAUGUCCAGGGUGAAGCGAGAGUAAAAUCUCGUGGAGGCCCGAACCGUCACAGGUUAAAAACUGUUCGGAUGAGGUGUGGAUAGGGGUGAAAGGCCAAACAAACCUGGAGAUAGCUGGUUCUCUUCGAAAUAUAUUUAGGUAUAGCCUUAUAAGUUUCUUGCCGGAGGUAGAGCACUGGAUGGGCUAGGGGUCUCACCAGAUUACCAAACCUAACCAAACUCCGAAUACCGGUAAGUUAGAUUAUAGGAGUCAGCCCGCGGGAGCUAAGUUCCGCGGACGAGAGGGAAACAACCCAGACCGCCAGCUAAGGUCCCCAAAUCUAUGCUAAGUGGGGAAGGAUGUGGGAAUGCCCAGACAACCAGGAGGUUGGCUUAGAAGCAGCCAUCCUUUAAAGAAAGCGUAAUAGCUCACUGGUCGAGUGGAUCUGCGCCGAAAAUGUAUCGGGGCUAAAGUAUAGUACCGAAGCUGCGGAAUAGACUUAAUUUAUUAAGUCGAUUGGUAGAAGAGCGUUGUGCCGUCGCAGAAUCGUGGUCGUGAGACCAUGUGGAGAUUGCACAAGUGACCAUGCUGACAUGAGUAGCGAUAAAGCGGGUGAGAGGCCCGCUCGCCGUAAGCCCAAGGUUUCCUGAGUAAAGCUAAUCUGCUCAGGGUUAGUCGAUCCCUAAGGCGAGGCCGAAAGGCGUAGUCGAUGGAAAACAGAUUAAUAUUUCUGUACCACCCAGUUGUUGUUUGAGAGAAGGGGGGACGCAGGAGGGCAAGUCAUCCGUCUGUUGGAAUAGGCGGUUUAAGCUCGUAGGCUGAAGAUC
rnacentral:rRNA from 1 species